ACACUAUUGACGUGUUAUGUUGUUCUGACUACUGUAGCGGAGGCUUCAAGUUGUCAAAAGUUGGAACAAGACACGAGCCGGGAUAAAAGGGUAAAGUUGGAACAAAAUAGGGUUUCUACGCGCAGCUCUUUAUCUUGAAAACGACGACCGAUCUGAAGCUCUCUGAAGAUCUGAAGUUCUGAAAAACUCCUACAAACCAGGUGUACUUGUUCAGAAGAGAAACUGCUUGGAAAUGAGUGGAGUAGGGAAAAUAAUGCAUGCCAUAAGACAGUUGCUGACCUAGACCAGAAUGUGGAACAACUGGACUUUGAAAUCGAAGUUCAAUUGUGGGAAGCAGCGAGCAAGGUGAUGACGUAAAGUUAUGGACGAUACUGUUUAUGGAGCAACUGGAUACUACCGGGAUUAUCAAAAUGUUUGCUGUAAUUGAUGUUGCGGGGCUUAUUAAUUUGAUUAAUUGGAUGCCGGAGGCCAUUGCUGGAGUUCACCGAAAGAAUUCAAGUUCAUAAUUGGCAAUUUAGUCUUAUAUGGCAGGGUAGUUCCCAUGUUUCUAGCCUGGGAAACAUUUGUGCAUUUAGAGUACCACAGGUUGAAGUGAUGGUGAAAUCUGAACAAUUACAUUUCUGUAAUUGUAAUAAAAAGGCCGUAUUAUAGCCUUCCUAGUUGAAAUACUCUAAUCAAUCCACCUAAAAAGCCCGCUUUAUAGUCUUCCUA